GUGCGCGGUGCAGGUUGGGAACAAAACAAACCCCCGGCUCGAGCGGGCGGACGGCGGCGGUUGUUCUGGGAGGGAGGGGGGUGCGGUGACGAGAAGGUGUCGAAGCCGAGACCGGACAGACGGAGCUGCGACACUGGCCGCGCAGUACUACAGAAACAAGCGUAUUGAACACAAGGAGAACAAAUAAUGGGUCUGAAAACCUUUACACACAAUUCUCCAGUCCAUGGUCAAGAGCUUCUUGGAAAAUUAAACAAACUCCGGAAUGAAGGACAUUUUUGUGAUGUUACAAUUCGAGUUCAGGAUAAGGUCUUCAGAGCCCACAAGGUGGUACUUGCUGCAUGCAGUGAAUUCUUCAGGGCAAAACUUAUAAAUCAAUCAGAUGCGGAUGAGUGCAUUUUAGAUUUGAAUCAUGUGACUGUUAGUGGGUUUUCGCCAUUGCUAGAAUAUGCAUACACUGCUACACUUGCCAUUAAUACUGAGAACAUUAUUGAUGUCUUGGCUGCUGCAAGCUAUAUGCAGAUGUUUCAUGUAGCAAAUACCUGUUCAGAGUUCAUGAAAUCAAGUAUUCUGUGGAAUACAGGUAGUAAUCCACCAGGAUCUGUUCCUCCACUGUCUCAGGAGAAUAGUGGAGCUUGCGUCGUUCAGUCCCAUGAUGACAGCUUAUCGCCAGUGUCGUCAGAAUGUAGCUCAGUUGAGAAGAAUAAGCCCAGGGAGUCUCGCCGAAAACGAAAGAACUUCAUAAUGAUAUCGCCAGAGAGUCCAACUGAAUCUGCUGCUCAGCCCAACUGUUCACAAGUUUUAAAUCCUUCAGUGACCUUUUCAGAUAGCAACAGGACCCAGCAGUGUGUAGACUCAUCUGUGUCAUUUCAGUGGACGUAUCCAGUGGGUAGUGAUCGACGGCACCAAACUGAAAAAAGUAAACAAACAGAAAAUGCUAGAAUCUUGGAACAGACGGUUAAUACAGAUGUAACAGGAAGACUACCUGAAUUUACUGCUUGUGAAAGCACAAAAGCAACAUCACCCCCUAUAAUAGAAGAUGAUGUACGGAUCAAAGUUGAAAGGUUAAGUGAUGAUGAGGGUCAUGAAGUGGUAUCCCAACCUGUUAGUGCUUCUCAAAGUUCACUUAGUGACCAUCAGACUGUACCAGGAGGUGAACAAGUUCAGGAAGAUUUAUUGAUCAGCCCACAGUCUUCCUCUAUAGGUUCAGUAGAUGAAGGAGUUACAGAAGGUUUACCAUCUCUGCAAGGCGCUUCCAAUGCCAACAAUCACCCAGAUGAUGAUGAUAGAUUGGAGAGUGGACAAUAUUCCUACCAGCUAUACAUCAACCCUUCCACAAGUGGCACAGAGAGACCCAGCCCAAACGGUCCUGAUAAACCUUUUCAGUGCCCCACAUGUGGUGCGAGAUUUACUCGUAUCCAGAACCUCAAACAGCACAUGCUUAUUCACUCAGGUAUAAAACCCUUCCAGUGUGACAGAUGUGGAAAAAAGUUCACAAGAGCGUACUCCUUAAAGAUGCAUCGUCUCAAGCAUGAAGGCAAACGAUGUUUCCGAUGCCAGAUAUGUAGUGCAACAUUUACUUCAUUUGGGGAAUAUAAACACCAUAUGCGUGUUUCAAGGCACAUUAUUCGAAAACCAAGAAUCUAUGAGUGUAAAACAUGUGGUGCCAUGUUUACUAAUUCUGGAAACUUAAUUGUACACCUGAGGAGCCUGAAUCAUGAAGCAUCUGAACUAGCGUCCUACUUCCAGGGAAGAAGCUUCUCCAAUUCUGAAGAUCCAAAAGUGGGAUAGUGUGCACAAUAUGCAGCAGAUUACAUCUGUGAAAUAUUGCUGUGGUCCUCAAAGAUUCAAAAUAUUUCAAAUAUUCAAUCAAUGGUUAAGAAAAGUAGGCAUUUGAGUUAAAUGCAUUCAUGAUCGAUUGAUGGAGAUAUAAAAGUACAAGAUUCAAGUGUACUUCAGUGGCUACCGUUUCCUUCUGCUGGGUGUUUGACAUGGAGAUUUUCGAGCUCUAACCAUCUGCCAUCAGUUGUAUUGGACAAAUUUAUAGGCUGAUGCGUAAUCUGUCUGGCCAUGUUAUGAAUGUUCCUUUCAUGGCCAACAAGUCCUGGUGUGAAACUUGAAAUGAUAGCUUCUAAGACAGAAGGUAAGGAUACUACCACACCAUCAAAAAACCUCCAACUGUGUUUUAUUCUAUUUCUAUACCCAACUCAAGAUAGUUAGUUCAGGAGCAUGUGCCAAAAGAUUAAGAUAUAACGUAAGAGUGAUUUGAGAACAAGACAUCGUAAGAAUGUGUAGGAGGGAAAUGCUGACUUGGAUUUGUUGGACAAAACUCACCACCAGUUAGAAUAUUUAAUCAAUUCAUGCUAAUUUUUUUUGUGAGCUGAUUCAUAGAAAAUUAUUGCGAUGAUUAAUUAACAACUCCAAGAUGAUAGAGGGUGAAUUUGUUGGAGUUUGCUGUCAUGAAAUUAUAUACAAACCCCAGGUUUUAGUCAAUUUCAUCUCCGGAAUGACAGUGUUCCUCCCAUGGAGUAUAAGAAUGAUAUUGCUUGAAUAGACCUUCAUGCAGCUGAUUGGAAAUUGUAACCUGGCAUGUCAAAAUGUGAAACAUUUCCAUUUUUUCCUGAGAAAUGCCUUUCUAUAAGAUAUUGUAAUAAGACUCAAUCUUAUUGUGUUGUUGAACAAAGAAAUUCAGAUUAUUAUCGGUAGCUCUUAAGGAUUAGUGACCUGAAAAUAAAAUUCAUUUAUAUUGGGUUUGACAAAGUUAAUCCCCAUACCAGUAAGGAACAGCUUGGCUCCCAGCACCGAACCAUUUAGUUCCUUUGCCAAGGACUGACAAAACUCAUGGAGACAGGUGGACUUGGCAGGUCUACAACUCGAAGCCAUCAUCACCGGUAUGUCUCAGAUUUCUGUAAGAUUUCUUCCGCAGCGGAACUCGUUUUAAAUGAAGUAAAAUUUAGUUGCCAUGUUAAAACCAUUUCUGCAGUUUGUGAAAUGAAAUAUGUGUGCAUUUUUUUUUAGUAGUGUGUAACGAGCUAUUAACUAGUUAUUCUUUCUUCUGUCCCUCCCUGUUGGCCUCCUUGCUGCUCUGAAAUAUUGACUCCCAACUGAAUAAUGAAUCUACUCCAAGGUUCAUAAAAUGACACCAUAAACCAUGUCUUCAGACUGGCUUUGGAUACUUUGUACAGAAAUAGUUCUACAUAGCCUUUCUUUCAUUAUUAAGAUCGAUGUUUGGAACAAAAAUUGAAUAAAGCUCCCAGUCAAGAUUCCUUCCUUACUCAUAUCCCAUCACAGGACAAAAUAUUAAUAGCAUUUUUGGGAAACAAUAUUUUUGUAACUGCAAAACCAGCCUGUAACAUUUUUAUACAAUCAAGCUUAGCUACACAAACCCUUGAAAUAGAGGAAUGAUUUCCGUUCAGUUAGACAACUGAAAUGUUUUGAUAAAAUAAAUAUCGUAAUUGCCUUUAAUUUGGUCUAUCUAAGUGAAAUUAAUCUUAAAAUGAAAUGAAUAUUUCGGGUUUUGAAGGAAGUUUUCUUUUAUAUACCUACAAUUGGGAAGUUGAUGAAGUUUGAUUAAAUUAAUUAAAGCUAAAUCCAUUUUUCAAAGACCAUGAGCAAACCUCAUCUUAGGGUAAUGAGAAUGAAAAGGAUUUUGAGAAUUUUUCAUUAACAUCACAAGUCCUCAAUUAAGCAGUUUCAUUAUAUUUUAUUUGAUUUUUUAUAUACAGUUUUCACGCAAUCCCAAUUAAUCUCCCAAAACAAAAAUACUCAUCAUUUGAAGAUAGAGAUUUCAAUUCAUAGACAUUGCUCCACUGAUGUCAACAAUGCCUCCCCUUGGGCAAUCUGCCAGGAAACAGAAUUGAGUUGUGUAUGAUGGGCAACUCGGACAAAAUUUGUCACCCCUGUUAUGAUGGUGCUAGAGUAUAGCAACUCUUUGCAUGCUGUCCCUAGCAGACCCUCUCCUUAUGUCUAUUAUAAUUGUUCUACUCUUUCAAAUCUCAAUUUUAAGUCUGUCAGGAUUACUAACAACGUUCUCUUAAAUCUAUUUUCAUACUGGACUGCCAACGUGAGAACUGUGACCAUGACAACAGAAUGACCAGCCACUGACCGGCUUCUCAAAGGACCGACCCAGAUGUCAAUCAGUGACUUGAUUCCACGGCCCAACCUGACCGCAUGAAGACCCAGCAUGAGGCCGGACCAGAUCGAGAACAAGACCCUCUGGUGUUUCCGAACCCACGACUAGUGUCCAGAUCCUCACCAGAUGCACAUAUGUACUUUCUGGAAUGGCAGACCACUACAUAGACUGUCAGGCCCAACCAGAAGCAGCCACUUACCUGUGGUUUCAAGUCCCCCCUCCCCAUCAUACACCUGGCAAUGUACAAGCCGUUGAAAACAAGCUGGAUGAACUUAAAGCUAGAUUCGGCUAGCAAAAAGAAUUGAGAGACUGCUGUGUGCUCAAUUUUACAGAGACAUGGCUUGGUCACAGAAUCAUAGAGUCAUACAUCAUGGAAAAAGAUUCUUCGGUCUAACCAGCCCAUGCCGAAUAUAAUCCAAACCAAGAUAAUCCCACCUGCUUACUCCUAGCCCAUGUCCAUCCAAACCUUUCCUAUUCACGUACUUACCCAAAUGUCUUUUAAAUGUUGUAAUUGUACCCGCAUCCACCAUUUCCUCAGGAAGUUCAUUCCACACGCAAACCACCCUCUGUACAAAAAAUUUGCCACCAUGUCUUUUUUAAAUCUCAUUCAUCUCACCUUCAAAAUGUGCCCCUUAGUUUUGAAAUUCCCCACCUUAGGGAAAAGACAACUACCAUUAACUCUAUCUAUACCCUCAUUAUUUUAUAAACUUCUAUCAUGUCACCUCUCAAUCUCCUAGGUUUUAUUUUCAAAUUAGGCUGUACUAAGGAUAACUUAUUGCAAAUGUCCAGGCUCACACCAGAAGAAAUAAACAGCUUGCAAGAAACAUACAUGUAAAUGAAUGAACUAAGCCAUUGAUUUUCCAGAGCUUAUGAGGCUACUGAUAUAAUUUAAACUCUUACUUUUAGACAAAGACAAGAUAUUGUUUGGGUAGAUUUUCUCACUAUCCCUUCUUGAGUUUUUAUCUGCUUCCUUGGCCAAUGUUUGAGUAUAUCUGUCCAAAAAUAACACUUUUGCUGACACUUUGCAGUUAGGAUUUUCUAACAUGAAUAUUCAAAGCAUCAUCUAAUUUAUUGUGUUCAAUAAUUAUAUAUUUAUAUCUGUCUUCCUAUCCUGUUUAAAACCAUGAAGAAAAUAUGGUAGAACAAAUUAUUUAAAGACCAGACACUUCUUUCCUGUUGUAAGUCACACUGUCAUUCAAACAUGCCAUGGAAAAUAUGUAAACCAUUUCACUCAAUGAGGCACGCAGAUACUCAUUGGGCAAUGUCUUUAAUUUGGCAGUGUGGAUGAAUUGGAUUGAAGGGUCUGUUUCUGUGCUGUAUGACGCUAUGACUAUGAUUAUAAUUGGUUUAUAAAUUGCUUUCGACCUUAUAUGGUUGGGAAAUUCAUAAAGUCUCUUGUUAAGUAAAUGGGAAUACAAGUUGAAAUGAGGAGGUAAAGUGACACGGGUAUGUCAGUACAAAAGCAUUGUAUGGGAGGAAACACGACAUUAAUAUUUUAAAUGGAACCAUUCAUCAGAAGCUGGAGAUGCCAGGACACUCAUCCCAGAGAUCUCUGCUAUUUUCAGUAUUCUAGUUCAUCAUUCUUGACUCAUUACUCAUCUUUCCAAACCUAGUUAGAUUAUUAAUAGACUAUGUCUUUAUUUAUAUAGCUUAAUUACCUUCUUAGAACACCCCACAGAAUUUGACAAUGAAUGAAACACUUCUGAAGUGAAGUCAUUGCUCUUAAGUCUAAAUGCAAACAGGUGCUACUGUUUUAUGCUACUUCACAAAAAUCAAUUGAACAAUUAUCUAAUUUUUAAUCACAACGUAACUAGUUCUGCUUUUACGUUGUACAUCACUCCAGAGUAAGCAAAAUGCUAGAUGUCUCCUCUUACCAAGUUCAAGCCGUAGCCAGAUAAAACUUCAAAAUUAUACCAUAAUAGCAACACAGGAAAAACGUUAUUCGAGAGAGUUCAGUCGCGUACCAUGUUGCUAAUUUAGUAUACUCUCUGUGAGGAUAUCUUAAUCAGACCUGAUUCAGCAAGCUACGCUCCCUAUAUGGCCUUUUGAAAUAGGUGAAAUCAAACAAAUCAUAGAAUCCCUACAGUGCAAAAAGACGGCCAUUUGUCUCAUCAGGUCUGUGCCAUCCCUCCGAAAGAUAUCCUACACAGACCCUAUCCCCUUAACUUCACAUUUACCAUGGCUAUUCCACCUACCCUGUGUAUCUUUGAAGAUUGAGAGGACACCAGAGCACCAAACAGAAAGCCACAAGAAGAAUGUGCAGAGUUCACACAGACACCCACCCAAGACUGAGGAUUGAACCCAGGUCCCUGGCGCUAUGAGGCAGCAGUGCUAACAAUUGAGCUACUGUGCCACCCAAAUGCUUCUUCAGUCUGAUUAUUCUAGGUCACAGGCAAACACAGUGCUGUGUUACACUGUCUGGACAUUCUAAGGAUUUCUACCAGCACAUUCUAUCUGACCUUAUUCCUUCUGCCCCUUCCCACUCAAAGUUGGAAAUGUUUAAAAUCUAGUAACAACUAUUAAACCAGAAAGAGUAUGAAUUAUAAAAAAGAUCAGAACAAAAUUAAAGUGCAUUACAAAAGUACCAUGAUGUGCCAAAGUUCAUUUCCUAAGAAGGCUAUCCUGGAAUUUUGCCAUCAAAUUCUACCAAAACAAGUCCUUUAAAAUUUGAUCUUCCAAACCUCCAUACUAAAUUUCACAUUCUUUUAAAAUUUCCUCUCUCUAGUAUCAAUUAGCCCAUACUAGAUUGCUACAUGAUCAAAUUGCUAGCCUGAUUCUCCAAUUAAAUUUGUCUCUCUAAUCUAAGUUUCUUCAGCAUAACUUGAUAAUGGGCUUGCAUUGUAUUUUCAAAUUGUUUAGAUAUACUGGUCAGCCAAUAAUGUCUGCUUAUCUGCAGCAUACUUUAUUGUAUGCCAUUUUUAAGAUUUGUGUUUCCUAGAAAUAUUGCUUAAUUGAAACUGAAGUAAACAAAGUAGCAAGUGUGGAAAUGCAUCUAAAUUCCAUAAUUUAGACUAUAAUUUGGAUGUAUAAAUUAGGUUCAGCUGCAUUGAGACAUGAGAUUUUCUUUCCAUACUCAUUGAUAGCCCAGGAUCCUUGGAUUUUGACUUGAAAUACCCUUCCCUUUCGUGGUAGGGAUCAAUUGUCUUCAUUGCUGUAAAUUCACCACUGAGGGUGUCACCAGGGAGGAUGUCAGCAAAACUCUGUCUAGCUGCUUAAGGCUGCUCUGUAGGUUAUUAAUCCCCUUGUACGGAUUGCCUUAGCAUGAAGCUUUCAUGUUACUUAUCACUCAGGCAUAAAACUGUUAUGCUGGAUUAGCUGCCAAUUAUAAAAAUGGCCCAAUUUUAAAAUCAGUCAAUUCAACAAGAAUUAAAAUUAGAAUUAAAUAUUAAACCUGGGCAAUUCUUAAGUCUGUACUCUCUUGUGCUUUGAGGCCAGAUGAAAAUUCUCCCCUUUAUACCCACAAGAAUAACAACUCCAUCAUUUUCCCAGUAGAGAAGUGAUAUUAGCAGGAAUAUUUAUUAUAUGACAGAGUUACCAACUGGAUGAAAGCUGUUUCUCUCACUCUAGUUGUGGAACUAAUAUGAAAUCCUUGGAUGCCGUGGAUUAUGUCUUGGCUGCUUGUUAAUCAUAUGGUUACCAUAUAUCUGGAAAAGAAGUGACCUCAUCCUAUGGCCCACAUUUCUGUAAAAUAGCCAGCUAUCUGUAUGAAAGCAGGCCGCAAUCACCAAUAAUGAGUAUAACGUUUGCUUUCAUGAUUGCCUGAAACUGAUGUCCGAGGCAGUCAAUUCUUGUAGUGACAGAUUUCUAUCAAUUGGAUACUUAGGCUGACUGCAGCAAAGAUGGAAGUGUUUCCCAUAUCAGGGAAAUUUCUGUCAAGGCACAUCCACUCUGUGAUCAUGUGUAACUGCCCCCUGAAAAGACAUGCACAAAACAGCCAGAAUAACAAAUUUACCAUGGCACACUCAAUCAUCCCAGCAGUCAAUUCUUUCAUUGCAUGAGUAAUGCAUCGUACAUUUCAGUUCCAGAGUAUUGUUGAUUAUCAGUCUCAGUGAAAAGUGUUUAUGUGUCCAAUAAAAUUACAGCCUCAAAUUUCUGUGCAAUAAACAUUUGUUUUAAAAAUGCUUUUUUCACACUUUCAAAUUACCUCACUUGGAGGUCUCGGAGUCCUUGAUUCUGUUUUGACUCAUGCAAUUCAUAAAGUAAU